rnacentral:rRNA from 1 species
UACGGAGGGUGCAAGCGUUAUUCGGUAUUAUUGGGCGUAAAGAGCGCGUAGGCGGGACUAUAAGUCAGAUGUGAAAGCCCAGGGCUCAAACCUGGAAGUGCAUUUGAAACUAAAGGACUUGAGUAUGGGAGAGGGAAGUGGAAUUCCUGGUGUAGCGGUGAAAUGCGUAGAUAUCAGGAGGGACACCGGUGGCGAAGGCGACUUCCUGGACCAAUACUGACGCUGAGGCGCGAAGGCGUGGGGAGCAAACAGG